rnacentral:lncRNA from 1 species
AUAUUUCACAAACUACAAGAACCAUGACUCUGAUGCUAGUAGUGUUGACAAUAUGCCUCUCAAAGUCGACGCUAACAGAUUAAACCAUUUGCAUUAUUUUGUUUUUAAUUAAUUACUGUUAGCGUCCGACAAAGCCGGCACGAAAUUUAAUUCAUUUUUAACUUUUUAAUAAAUUCAUUAUUAAUUAACGGCGGUUUAGGCCGACGCUAAUUUAUAUAAAUAUAAGUUCAUUUAGUCAUUUAAAUCAUUUGUUUUAUUUUGUAAAACAUUCGUGUCAAUCAAG